ACAUUAACCGUAUAAAUUGAGAGGUGGGAUUUUGGGCAUUUAUAGAUGGUAGGAGAGAUAGCUAGCUAGAAACCUACCACCACCCUCUAUCAUUACCCUUACAUAAUAAAAUAUUCCUUGCCCAAAAUUAAUGCUGAGGGCAUCCCUUGAUCAUCUCAGCUUAUCCAAUAUCUUUUUCAUGAAAAAAAAAAAAAAAACAGAGAGAGAGAGAGAGAGAAUCCAACUAGAAAGGAAUUAAACCCGCAUGAAUGAAUUAAAAUCCAGGAAAAUCCAGCAUUGAGUGUAUUAUAUGUGUACAGGAGGGGUUGGGUUUCAAGAAUUUUUUACCAAGUUUAAUUAAACUUUUCUACAAAGAAGAAAGAAGAGUUUCAUCCCUUCCGGUGGCCCAUCAGGUUUUCACGCAUGUUCCGAGUGAUCACCUUUGCCGCCGGUCUCCGUUCCUGACCCUCAACAUCUUUAGGUUCAUCGUAAAAAUCUUCACCAUGUAACAUUCUUGGUGGUGAUACCAGAGCCUUGAUCGAUGUCAUGGAUCUUCCCCGGGCUAGGCUUCAAUACCACUAUUCGAGUGGGUUGAUCAGCAGGAGGAUAUUCAACAAUCUUCUCAUCGGAAAAGGCAGGAGAAUAUUUAUCCAAGAUUGUUUUUCUCCCACCCAGUGGCUUGCCCGGAGAUGGAGGCAUAGAUUGCAUGUCAUGCAGAUGUUGAGAGAACAAUAUUGAAUUUGGUUCCAGCAGAAACUUGAGGAAUAAAUCUUUAUUUGAACUUAA